CCUGAUAAAACCAGAAAUGAAUUUUUUAUAGAAUGAGGAAAGAAAGUAGAAUUGUGAAGCAAAAUUUUUUCUAGAACUAUAUUUUGAUCUUCUGAAAGGUCUACUUUCCUCUUCAAGUAUGAUCCUGUAAGCCGGGGUUUCCCUUCUUCCUUCCGUAUGUAUAUUACAUGAAAAUUAUUCUAUAGAGGAGACUAUAGAUUCAAGAAAGGUGACGUCAUGAAUCUUGAGCAUGAAGAAAUAGAACGUGAAAAAUUGAUCUUUCAGUUGUAGAAUUGUGAAAUUAAUACGAAUAUCUUCACGGGAGCAUGUUGUCCAAGAUCCACGUAGUGUACGUGGCGACCUUGCUGUACACGCCAGGUGUCUUGGAGGCGCCGCAGGAUUUUGCAC
rnacentral:lncRNA from 13 species